GUGGUUGAGCGCGCUGGCCUGGGCGGCACUGUGCCUGGAAGCACCCACGCCAAGGUGCGCACCUCCACGCCGGAGCAGCGUGCUGCGCGGGAACAGGCGCCACGUUACUAUGGUAACGGAGCCGUCGUUGGCGAGCAAGGGGCAGCCACUUAUUUUCAUUUCAACUAAUGUUCCUGGUACCCCCACUUACCUAAACCCAUUUGGAGUUAUGUGUGGACCCUGAGGAGGAUGCAGUGAAGAUAUGGAACAUAUUAAUCCAGUGGGCAGGACACAGCUAAUGGAAUGUGAAGAGGUAAUCUACUUCGAUAGAAAAAACACAAUUUUUUAAAUGAUAACACAAGGAAAUCUGCAGAUGCUGGAAAUUCAAGCAACACAUACAAAAAAUGCUAGUGAAUGCAACAGGCCAGGCAGCGUCUAUAUGAAGAGAUUUCUAUUAUCUGCAAUUUGUUACCAUGACUUUUUUUUCAAAGAUCAAAUACAAAGUUAGCAAACUGAGCACCAUUUGUUGAAGUUAUCUUUAUUUUUCAAAUAAUUCAAAUGUUUGAUCCAAGCUUUAGCAGCAGUAAACUCUAGUUUCCAUUUCAGCAAUUACGAUUCCUCAUGCUGUAUAUUGCCCACCUCCCUCCGCAAUUGAAUGCUGGACUUCUUAACAGGAAGGCCACAGUCAGUCCAUGUGGGCAGCAACAUCUCCUGUCCCAUUACACUGAGCUCUAGCGCUCCCCAAGGCUGUGUGCUCAGUCUGCUGCUGUUUGCACUGCUAAUGCAUGACUAUGUCACAGGAUCCAACUCAAACCAUGUCAUCAAGUUUGCAGAUGAGACAACAGUGGUUGGCCUUGUCAAGAACAAUGAUGAGACAGAGUAUAGAGAGGAAGUGGAGAGGCUGGUGGAUUGGUGUGAGAAGAACAACCUGAACCUGGAUGUGGAGAAGACAAAAGAAAUUAUGGACUUCAGGAAGGUGCAAACAAACCAUCCCCCUCUGCGAAUACAUGGGUCCUCUGUAGAGAGAAUUAAAUGCACCAAGUUCCUGGGAGAUCACAUCACAUGAUCUCACCUGGUCCCUUAAUAUCAGCUCCCUGAACAAGAAGGUGCAGCAGCCCCUCCACUUCCUAUGAAGAUUGAGUCAAGCAAGGCUCACAGCCCCUCAUCUUAACUGCGUUUUACAGGAGCACCAUUGGGAGUACACUGAAAAUUGCAUCUCCAUCUAAUGUGGAAGCAGUCGGGUAUCGGACUUGAAGUCCUACAAAGGACUGUGAGAACAGCUAAAAGGAUCAUGGGGUCUCCCUACCAUCCACUGGGGACAUUUAUCAGGAGUGCUGCAUACACAGGGCCCUAGGAUCCCAACUAUCCAUCCGGCGUCCUCUGACUUUCUACCAUCAGGCAGGAGACUCAGAUGCAUUGAAAACAAGAACAGUCAGGAUGAGAAGUAGUUUCUUCUCGCAGGCCAUUAGGCUUCUGAACUCCCAGCUGCAUCAUAGUCGGUAUGUCUCUGGUUAAUUUGUUCCACUCCUUACAAUAUUUAAUAUUAAUGCACCAGCUUGUUAUUUAUGUGUGAUUCAUCUGUAGAUUUUAUCGUCUUCGUAAGUUUUUCUGCAUUAUGUGUUUUAGACCCUAGUUCGAAGAAACAUCUCGUUUCUAUAUACAUUAUAUAUGUUAUAUACUGUUACAUGCCUUAAGGAGAUGUGUUUUUUUUGUCAGAAUGAUGUAAUGGUCUUUUGGCGGUCACCUGAUGUAAUUUUCCCGCCAAUGUGAGGUCACGUGAUGACAUGUGCAUCAUGGGUAUAUAAGGGUAGACCCCAGAUGAUGCAGUUAGUUUUUAGUUUGUAGAUUUCCAGGUAGAAUGUGCUGUGUCUCCGUUUCUGUUGCGUUUUUUUUUGUGACGCAGUUUCGUUUUUGAAAUGGUUGUGCAUUCUGUUGCAAGAUACAAUAUUAUUGGACUGGAAAUUUUUGGCUAGAUGUGUUGAUUUACCCUAUUCCUGUAGUAGAAGGGAGAGUGAAGACUUUAUCGAAGUACAGGACCGAAGGAUUAAGAGGAGUCAGGAUCGGUCGGCAGUUUAAUAAAGGAUCGACCUUAUUGAGUCUUCGUUGAAGGAGUAGCGACCUGCAUCGAGAUAACUCUUGCCAAAAGAGCAAAGAGUUCAUGUAAAGGUUUGCUCUCUCUAAAAGAAAUUAAGGUCAGUUGUUUUAAACCGUUUAUUUACUGCAUCGUGAAUCCUUUGGAUAGAACCGGCAGGAAAGUUGCGUCUAUGAAGAAAUCCUUCUCCAGAGAAGUCUCUCCCAAUUGAACGUAUAAAUCUGUUGAACUUUUGAAUUUACUAUUUUAAGAACUAUAUCUGACUUUAUCGCUUUAAGAACUGUUUUCGCAUUUAACGCUUUAAGAACCAGUGCCGAGUGACGAUUUGUGGAACGGCUGCAUAGAAACAUAGAAAAUAGGUGCAGGAGUAGGCCAUUCGGCCCUUCGAGCCUGCACCGCCAUUCAGUAUGAUCAUGGCUGAUCAUCCAACUCAGAACACUGUACCAGCCUUCCCCCCCCAUACCCCCGAUCCCUUUAGCCACAAGGGCCAUAUCUAAUUCCCUCUUAAAUAUAGCCAAUGAACUGUUAACGGUUAACUUCCGGUUGAAGUUUUCAUUUGUUUUUUCCUUAUUGUUUAUCCCUGUUUAAUAAAUGUUUGGUUAUUUUUAUAUAACCUGUCUCGAUUGAUAUUCAUUAUUGCCGGUUAUGUAACAAUACAUGUAAAUAGUUAAAUGACAACAAACUUCACUUGACUUGACAAUAAGGUUGCUAAUUUGUUCUGUAAAGGCUGUGGUAUUUUUAACCUGUAAUUCCCCUCUCUGUAAA